GUCCAGGCUAAUAUCUUGACUAUAACCUGUUAAAAACAAGAUAAUAAUCCCAAAAUUGAGUUGCUUAUGCUAAGCCCCACGUCACCAAGCGGGAAACUUAACUUAAUUACAUUUUUGGCUCUCUCGGAAAUGGAAUCUUAAACCAGUCAAUCAGGAAUCACCUGAUAAUCAUUAGUGAGGUCAGCUGCCUGACAGAUCUCUGCCUUCCCCUAAGUAGGCUUGCUAUAACCAACCCGCUUUUUUGCCAGUAUAACUUCCCUUGUGCUUGCUCUCUGCUGCCUAUAAAUCUUUCAUUUUGUACAGCUCCUUGGAAUCCUUCUAACUGCUAGAUUGAAUGCUUCCUGAUUCAAAUCAAUUUUUGCUCACAUAAACUUCUAAAAUUUUCAAUAUGCCUCAGUUUAUCUUUUAACAGUUUUGGCAUCAGAGGAAGGAACCAAAGGAGAGUCCUGACGAACACCAGGGGCAACGAGCAACCAGAUUUCCUGGUGACCAGAAUGAAACCUGCUGGGACACCCCACUCUCUCUGAAGCCUGCAAAUGAGAUCCUGGGAAAGCUGGCAGAAGGCGCAAAGUUGAGAAUUCUCACCAAAGUUGGCUCUUCCAGAUCUCUCCCUGUGGCUCCUGGUUGAGGGAGGAAGAUACCAUCUCACAUUGUCCCUCCCUUUCCAAAUUCAGACUGGCUGGCAAAAAGCAUUUGCAAGAAUUAGAUCUUUGAAUUGUGACUCAUGAAUUUGCUUUCAGGUACCCACUGGUUGUCAAUUCUUUCUCUCCUGGGAAAGCUCGUCCUCCUUGUCUGUCUCAUUUCACAUCCUGAGAACUUGGCUUGACAGGCAUCAGGUUGGGCGCCUGAAAAUAUGACCUGCAGGUUGUAUUCCAUUUGCUGCUGGGGUCUUAUGGACUCUCGCCAGCUCUCAGGGGAAUUGUCUAAGUCAUUCUUUGUUUUGGCUCUCUUGAGAUUGUCUCUGGAUCUUGGGAGGAUAGUAUUUGUUGUACCCUCUUUGGGGAUGCCUCCUGCAUCCAAGGAGUUGUUCAAUACUGUCAGGAAGAUUUACUGUUUGUGUCGGCUGAAACCUGACAAAGUAUUUGUAAGGAUUUUUUUUUUUUUUUUUUUUUUUUUUUAAGUAGCUCUGUGGUCAGAAGUUGGCCAAAUUGGAAGCUGAUAGUCAGGGUCUGACAGGAAGUUUUUAUAGGCUUUCUCCACUAAGCUAAAACUAAACUAUGCACCUAGAGGGAGAGAAAAACAUUGUGAAGCCUUUGAGGAAGGAUUUACUAAAACAGUGCAAAGACACAGCUCUAAAUCUGGAACAUAGGAAUCUUUUGACUGCCAUCUUAGUUGAAGAUUUCCCUGAUAUAAAGAGGCAAAUUGUGGAUACUGUAGUUGGAUGGGUGUGUCAGCCUCUUGAUAGCAUUCAGGUUUAUUAUCAUUCCAAUUUUCUGAGGAAUUAGAAACAACUGUAACUGUCUUACAAAUUUGAGUCUUCACAGGAGCCGAAAUGUGACCCUAGAAACCCUUCACAGACCAUUUAUCCUUUUUACCAAUCCCCAAACUGCCCCUAGUCAUCUCAAAAAGCUCCUUUCUAUCUGCUAGACUGGAUGCUAUCCAAUUCAAAUCAAUUUUAGCUCAAAUAAACUCUUAAAAAUUUUAAUGUUAUUUUAUCUAUUAAUAAACCUCUCAAGAGAACCUGUGCCAGAACUACCCAGCUAAGCUGUUCCAGAAUUCCUCUCCCAGAAAAACUGUGUAAUGAGAAAGGUUUGUUAUUGUUUUAAGUACUUAAUUUUGGGGGUAAUUUUUUAUGCAGCAGUAAAUUUAUUAGAUAGCUAAUACACAGCCUUUAACCAUUCCUUUACGUCUCAAAACCAAUGCAGACUUUGAUUUCUACUUCAGGUGAAACGCUCUGACUGUAGUAGACUAUCAGCUUUGUUCUCUGUGCAUUCAACUUGGUUGUCUCCAAUCAGGCAGAAGUGUGACACUGCAAAUAGUCUAUCUUUUCUUUUGGCUCGGGAGUGGCAAGUGGAUCUUCUUAACAAUGACUUCAACCUCUCCAAUGGCUAGCAAAAGUGUCACUGUCAGCUGUGAUUUUUUUUCCCCAAAAUACUACUUUCAAAGGGCUGAAGGUCAAGCUAACACUAAUUCAUUAUAGACAAAACACUUAUCUCUUAUGUAAUCUUAGACUUGGUGAAAUAUAUUUUCUUUUCAUCUAUUCUUUGCUCAAAAUAUCAUGCACAAUAAAACAAUACAUAUUCUUGAUUACUAUAAAAUGAAAAUUUUGGAAGAGCAUAUCUGACCAUAAUAAAAACAUCAAGAACAAUUUAACUACGUGCAAAUGUAAUUUUAACAUGGCAGAAUAUAUUGUGUUUGGACAAAGUAUGUGAGCAUAUAUAUUUUCAAAGGGUCACUGCUGCCUUUAUAAGGGAUGUUUUCCAUAUUCCGAAUGUAUAAUACAAUUGAGAUGAACAACAGCAUUUUCAUAUUCUCUAAGUCUAUCCCAAUUUUGACCUUCUAAAGCUUGACUACCUCCAAUCUAAUCUGAAUUUAUGCACUAUGUUUAUAAGCCAAAAUUAAAUGUAUAUUUAGUUUAUAAAUAUAUCAAUUCCUUCAACAUCAAACAUUGGUCACUUAAUUUUUCUUAUGUAUAAAUUACUACUUUACGAUAGUUGAAAACAUUUUUCCUGUGUAGACUUUAUCUUCCCCAUCUGGGUUGUAAGUUCCCAAAGGCUGGGGAGAUUUUGAAAUUUUACUUGCUACUUUGAGUUGAUUUAACUGCUAGGAAAUGACAGAGUAUUUUUAAUUUAUAUUAUGCCUAAGCAAUUUUUAAUAUUUUCUUCCCCUGAACAUAUUUUAGUAAAUUCAGUGUAUUUUAAUUGGUAUAAACACCAGCAACAAUUCCAAUAAUAGUAAAAGUAAAAUAUAUCAUAUAAAUCAGUAUUAAAAAUUUAACAUAUAAAAUUAACCAACUGUACAAACAUACUCUAUAACUUUGUGGCUGCAAAUAAUAAACGGAAUAGAAAACUAAGGCAGUUACCUGUAGAUUUUGCCAAGAAGCACUUUUAGAAUAUUUAUUAGUUUAAGACAACAUUGGUUUUUCAUUCAAAUUAUCCAGAUAUUUGCUUAAUUCCUUCUCUUUAGUUUGCAUGUGUAGAUGUGGCCUUAAUCCCUAAUGUUGGAUAGUAAAAACAUAAUUUAGUCCCACUGAAGCUAAUGAAGUGAGAGCGUUACACUCUAUUAUUCUGCAAAAGGUCCAUUUACAUGCACUAUGUUCCAGUCCAAAAAAUAAAUCUUGCAGUUCAAAUUGCCAUAUGCUCAGAAUUUUGGCACAGGUGAGCACAGUAUGACCAGCUGCUGUUUCUCUAAAUAAUGAUAUCAUGUAAACAAGUGAAAAUAUCUUUUGAAAAUGAAUACCUAUCACUCUUUGAGAUUAGAAACUGGGAGACAUUUUAAAAAAAUGACCACAGAGACAAGUCCACUGUUAACAUAUUCUGAACACCAUUUUAAUGUCCACU
ensembl:lncRNA